rnacentral:rRNA from 1 species
GAUGAACGCUAGCGGCAGGCCUAACACAUGCAAGUCGAGGGGUAACGGGAGAGCUUGCUCUCGCCGACGACCGGCGCACGGGUGCGGAACGCGUAUGGAACCUACCUCUAUCAGGGGAAUAGCCCAGAGAAAUUUGGAUUAAUGCCCCAUAGUAUUGGAUCGACACAUGUUGAUCUGAUUAAAGAUUUAUCGGAUAGAGAUGGCCAUGCGUACCAUUAGUCAGUUGGUAAGGUAACGGCUUACCAAGACAACGAUGGUUAGGGGCCCUGAGAGGGGGAUCCCCCACACUGGUACUGAGACACGGACCAGACUCCUACGGGAGGCAGCAGUGAGGAAUAUUGGACAAUGGAGGAGACUCUGAUCCAGCCAUGCCGCGUGCAGGAUGACGGCCCUAUGGGUUGUAAACUGCUUUUAUACGGGAAGAAACCCACCUACGAGUAGGUGGCUGACGGUACCGUAAGAAUAAGGACCGGCUAACUCCG